rnacentral:rRNA from 1 species
UGGGGAAUAUUGCACAAUGGGCGAAAGCCUGAUGCAGCAACGCCGCGUGAGCGAUGAAGGCCUUUGGGCCGUAAAGCUCUGUCCUUGGGGAAGAAAAAAAUGACGGUACCCUUGGAGGAAGCCCCGGCUAACUACGUGCCAGCAGCCGCGGUAAUACGUAGGGGGCAAGCGUUAUCCGGAAUUAUUGGGCGUAAAGAGUGCGUAGGUGGUUUUGUAAGCGCGGGGUGAAAGGCAAUGGCUCAACUAUUGUAAGCCCUGCGAACUGUGAGACUUGAGUGCAGGAGAGGAAAGCGGAAUUCCUAGUGUAGCGGUGAAAUGCGUAGAUAUUAGGAGGAACACCAGUGGCGAAGGCGGCUUUCUGGACUGUAACUGACACUGAGGCACGAAAGCGUGGGGAGCAAACA